AUUGAACGCUGGCGGCAGGCCUAACACAUGCAAGUCGAACGAGUGGCGGACGGGUGAGUAAUGUCGGGGAAACUGCCUGAUGGCGGGAGAUAACUACUAGAAACGGUAGCUAAUACCGCAUACCAUCAGAUGUGCCCACAUGGGAUUAGCUUGUGGGUGGGGUAACGGCUCACCAAGGCGACGAUCCCUAGCUGGUCUGAGAGGAUGACCAGCCACACUGGAACUGAGACACGGUCCAGACUCCUACGGGAGGCAGCAGUGGGGAAUCUUGCACAAUGGGCGCAAGCCUGAUAGAGCCAUGCCGCGGGUAUGAAGAAGGCCUUCGGGUUGUAAAGUACUUUCAGCGGGGAGGCGUUACCCGCAGAAGAAGCACCGGCUAACUCCGUGCCAGCAGCCGCGGUAAUUC
rnacentral:rRNA from 1 species